rnacentral:rRNA from 1 species
UACGUAGGUCCCGAGCGUUGUCCGGAUUUAUUGGGCGUAAAGCGAGCGCAGGUGGUUUAUUAAGUCUGGUGUAAAAGGCAGUGGCUCAACCAUUGUAUGCAUUGGAAACUGGUAGACUUGAGUGCAGGAGAGGAGAGUGGAAUUCCAUGUGUGGCGGUGAAAUGCGUAGAUAUAUGGAGGAACCCCGGUGGCGAAAGCGGCUCUCUGGCCUGUAACUGACACUGAGGCUCGAAAGCGUGGGAAGCAAACAGG